UGCCAGCCGCCGCGUAAUACAUAGGGGUCAAGCGUUGUCCGGAAUCAUUGGGUUUAAAGGGUCCGCAGGCGGUCAAUUAAGUCAGAGGUGAAAUCCCAUCGCUCAACGAUGGAACUGCCUUUGAUACUGAUUGACUUGAGUUAUAUGGAAGUAGAUAGAAUAAGUAGUGUAGCGGUGAAAUGCAUAGAUAUUACUUAGAAUACCGAUUGCGAAGGCAGUCUACUACGUAUAUACUGACGCUGAGGGACGAAAGCGUGGGGAGCGAACAGGAUUAGAUA
rnacentral:rRNA from 1 species